rnacentral:rRNA from 1 species
AACCAACAAGCUUGCUUGUUGGGGUUGUAGGACACUCUAUACGGAGUUACAAAGGACGACAUUAGACGAAUCAUCUGGAAAGAUGAAUCAAAGAAGGUAAUAAUCCUGUAGUCGAAAAUGUUGUCUCUCUUGAGUGGAUCCUGAGUACGACGGAGCACGUGAAAUUCCGUCGGAAUCUGGGAGGACCAUCUCCUAAGGCUAAAUACUCUCUAGUGACCGAUAGUGAACCAGUACCGUGAGGGAAAGGUGAAAAGCACCCCGGAAGGGGAGUGAAAUAGAACCUGAAACCGUGUGCUUACAAGUAGUCAGAGCCCGUUAAUGGGUGAUGGCGUGCCUUUUGUAGAAUGAACCGGCGAGUUACGAUUUGAUGCAAGGUUAAGCAGUAAAUGUGGAGCCGUAGCGAAAGCGAGUCUGAAUAGGGCGUUUAGUAUUUGGUCGUA